rnacentral:rRNA from 1 species
UGCUUUUUGAUAUUUCAUAAAAAGUAAUUCCUGCCCAGUGAACCUAUUCAACGGCCGCGGUAUCCUAACCGUGCAAAGGUAGCAUAAUCACUUGCCCAUUAAUUGUGGGCUAGAAUGAACGGAUCAACGAAAUAAAACCUGUCUCUGUAAACUUUUUAUAAAUUAAAAUCUAACUGAAGAUUGUUAGAUAUUGCUGAAGGACAAGAAGACCCUAUAGAGCUUAAUUUUAAAUUGUACUAAAGUCAAUCUAAAAAUUCGGUUGGGGCGACCAGGGAAAUUAAUAAUCAUCCCCUAAUCAAAGAUUUAUUAAUCUAUAAAUAAGACCCUACUAUGAUCUAAAGAACAAGCUACCUUAGGGAUAACAGACUAAUCCUACUAAAGAGUCCUUAUCUAUAGUGGGGGUUGGCACCUCGAUGUUGGCUUAGGGAAUCUAUAUAAUGCAAAAGUUAUAUGAAGAUGGUUUGUUCAACCAAUAAUACCCU